GACGAACGCUGGCGGCGUGCUUAACACAUGCAAGUCGAACGGAAAGGCCCUGCUUUUGUGGGGUGCUCGAGUGGCGAACGGGUGAGUAACACGUUAGUAACCUGCCCUUUACUUUGGGAUAACUUCAGGAAACUGGGGCUAAUACCGGAUAGGAGCUCCUGCUGCAUGGCGGGGGUUGGAAAGUUUCGGCGGUUGGGGAUGGACUCGCGGCUUAUCAGCUUGUUGGUGGGGUAGUGGCUUACCAAGGCUUUGACGGGUAGCCGGCCUGAGAGGGUGACCGGCCACAUUGGGACUGAGAUACGGCCCAGACUCCUACGGGAGGCAGCAGUGGGGAAUAUUGCACAAUGGGCGGAAGCCUGAUGCAGCAACGCCGCGUGCGGGAUGACGGCCUUCGGGUUGUAAACCGCUUUCGCCUGUGACGAAGCGUGAGUGACGGUAAUGGGUAAAGAAGCACCGGCUAACUACGUG
rnacentral:rRNA from 1 species